rnacentral:rRNA from 1 species
AUGGAAAGUUGUAUCCGGGGCGUUACAACGUCGGACAAGAGGAGCAACCUCGUCGACAUUAACGUCCCCGGCGAGAAGCGCGAGUACACAACAACCCUCAAAGGGGUUGAGCUCCACGGCAACGAGACGCUGGAGAUCGUCUGCACCAGUGUACCAGAAAAGGCAGACGAGGUGAUCUCCAGGCUCUGGAGGAUGCUUGGCGGCAGGUUUCGUAGGAUCGUCGGCGUUGGUGUGCACUACACCAACGCAGAUGAACCUCCCCAGAAGGCAGCAGUCCUGCAGUUGUGCGUCGACGAACUCUGCUUGGUGUACCACAUCGCAACAGCCACAAAAUGGCCCAAGCGCCUGACCGAGAUGUUGCAGCAUGAGAAGUUGUUCACAUUUGCCGGUUUCAGCAUUGAAAGCGACAAAGAGAAGCUGAAGUUGUCCGGUAUGGAGAUCAACCCCAACAAGUUCAUCGACAUUCAGCGCAAGUGGAGAGUUCCAUACACCGGAAAAGAGUACGACUCCUUGACUGAUGUUGCAGCCAGCGUCAUCCACCCAUUCUACAAAGGCAUGAAGAACAAGAUCAACACGCAGGAAGACUACAAACUGUGGGGGACCAGCUAG